rnacentral:misc_RNA from 1 species
GAUGAAGAACGCAGCGAAAUGCGAUAAGUAAUGUGAAUUGCAGAAUUCAGUGAAUCAUCGAAUCUUUGAACGCACAUUGCGCCCGCCAGUAUUCUGGCGGGCAUGCCUGUUCGAGCGUCAUUUCAACCAUCAAGCCCUGCUUGCGUUGGGGUCCUGCGGCUGCCCGCAGGCCCUGAAAACCAGUGGCGGGCUCGCUAGUCACACCGAGCGCAGUAAUACGUCUCGCUUUGGGCGUGCGGCGGGUUCUUGCCGUUAAACACCCCCUUUUUACCAAGGUUGACCUCGGAUCAGGUAGGAAUACCCGCUGAACUUAAGCAUAUCAAUAAGCGGAGGA